GACGAACGCUUGCGGCGUGCCUAAGAAAUGCAAGUCGAACGGACAGGUCAGCAAUGGCCUGUUAGUGGCGAACGGUCGCGUAACACGUAAGCAACCUGCCCUGAAGUGGGGGAUAACAGUCCGAAAGGAUUGCUAAUACCGCAUGUGGUCAUCGUUUCGCAUGGGAUGAUGUCUAAAGGCUGUAGCAAUACAGUCGCUUCUGGAUGGGCUUGCGGCCAUCAGCUUGUUGGUGGGGUAAUGGCCUACCAAGGCUUUGACGGGUAGCUGGUCUGAGAGGACGAUCAGCCGGAUUGGGACUGAGAUACGGCCCAGACUCCUACGGGGGGCAGCAAUUAGGAAUCUUGCACAAGUGGGGGAAACCCUGAUGCAGCGACGCCGCGUGCGGGAUGAAGGCAUUCGUGUCGUAAACCGCUUUUGACGAGGGAAGAAGAAUGUGACGGUACCUGUCGAA
rnacentral:rRNA from 1 species